rnacentral:rRNA from 1 species
ACGUACAUUGCACGAAUUUUGUGCUCAAUCCAUGUCAACCCCACGCACUUCGACGUUUGAAGCUAAGAAAUCGGAACACGAUUUGGUGCUAUUUGGGAAGGUAAAAAAACGUAACAAGGUUUCCGUAGGUGAACCUGCGGAAGGAUCAUUACCGAGUGCUACGAGCGAGAGCUCGUUACCUCCCACCCUUUGUGAACAUACCUCUGUUGCUUUGGCGGCUCUCGCCGCGAGGGGAGGCCCUGAAAAGGGCCCGCCCCCCUCGCGCGCCCUCCGCCAGAGGACCUUCAAACUCCAGUCAGUAAACGUCGACGUCUGAUACACAAGUUAAUAAACUAAAACUUUCAACAACGGAUCUCUUGGUUCUGGCAUCGAUGAAGAACGCAGCGAAAUGCGAUAAGUAAUGUGAAUUGCAGAAUUCAGUGAAUCAUCGAAUCUUUGAACGCACAUUGCGCCCCUUGGCAUUCCGAGGGGCAUGCCUGUUCGAGCGUCAUUACAACCCUCAAGCUCUGCUUGGUAUUGGGCGCCGUCCUCUCUGCGGACGCGCCUCAAAGACCUCGGCGGUGGCUGUCCAGCCCUCAAGCGUAGUAGAAUACACCUCGCUUUGGAGCGGCUGGCGUCGCCCGCCUCGGACGAACCUCUUCUGAACUUUUCUCAAGGUUGACCUCGGAUCAGGUAGGGAUACCCGCUGAACUUAAGCAUAUCAUAGGGGGAAAAGGAAUUUGUUUAGAUUGACUCUUCAUACUUGAAUUAACUAGACUUUGGAUCGCGUUUUGUGGUGUAAUAGUGUUGUUUAUGCUUCACCCGUAACGCUUGCCUAACGGGUCUGCUUCUAAUCGUCCGUGUGUUACUUUUUUUGUAAUAAUAGGACAAGGAUCCUUUAUGGCCUUAACUCUGACACCUUUGACCUCAAAUCAGUAGGACUACCC